rnacentral:rRNA from 1 species
GCAGCCGCGGUAAUACGUAGGGGGCGAGCGUUGUCCGGAAUGAUUGGGCGUAAAGGGCGCGUAGGCGGCCUGUUAAGUCUGGAGUGAAAGUCCCGCUUUCAAGGUGGGAAUUGCUUUGGAUACUGAUGGGCUCGAGUGCAGGAGAGGAAAGCGGAAUUACCGGUGUAGCGGUGAAAUGCGUAGAGAUCGGUAGGAACACCAGUGGCGAAGGCGGCUUUCUGGACUGAAACUGACGCUGAGGCGCGAAAGCGUGGGGAGCAAACAGGAUUAGAUACCCC